rnacentral:tRNA from 1 species
CUGCCCUUAGCUCAACUGGAUAGAGCAAUGCCCUUCUAAGGCAUAGGUUGCUGGUUCGAUUCCAGCAGGGCAGGCCA